ensembl:antisense Fcnaos ficolin A, opposite strand
AUGUCCCAUCUCCUGCUGCCACAUGUGCAGGCAUAUGCAGGCCUGAACCCUGAGGUUCAUCGGAGUAGCCAGCUCUCUAACAGCAAUGGCUUCCCCCAUCUCCAACUGCAGCAAGCUGAGCACAGCCCAGGCGUGUUGUAUGCAGCAGGCGGCUUAUAAGUGUUGUAUCCAGCAGGCGGUUUAUAUUGCAGCAGCUUCUGGCUGAGUCUCCAGCUCCCAACUCCCUGCAGAGGCACGGGGACUCAUGCACAACUGCUUCUGGUUUUCUAUAUUCUCUCAGGGAAUCUGAAGUAUUGGCUACAGACCCAGGCUUGCCUGCCACUUCAAGGUGCAGAGUGCCUUUAUAAGCUGGCCCUGAGAAGUGUCCAGUGUGUAGCUUCCACUUGUGCAGCCGGAGCUGUCACCCUGGUCGAUCAGUCUUGGAGUGUGCAUUCAAUAAACCAACCCUGUUUAACUGA